rnacentral:rRNA from 1 species
UUACCAGGUCUUGACAUACUCGUGCUAUUCCUAGAGAUAGGAAGUUCCUUCGGGACACGGGAUACAGGUGGUGCAUGGUUGUCGUCAGCUCGUGUCGUGAGAUGUUGGGUUAAGUCCCGCAACGAGCGCAACCCUUAUUGUUAGUUGCCAUCAUUAAGUUGGGCACUCUAGCGAGACUGCCGGUAAUAAACCGGAGGAAGGUGGGGAUGACGUCAAAUCAUCAUGCCCCUUAUGACCUGGGCUACACACGUGCUACAAUGGUUGGUACAACGAGUCGCAAGACAGUGAUGUCAAGCUAAUCUCUUAAAGCCAAUCUCAGUUCGGAUUGUAGGCUGCAACUCGCCUACAUGAAGUCGGAAUCGCUAGUAAUCGCGGAUCAGCACGCCGCGGUGAAUACGUUCCCGGGCCUUGUACACACCGCCCGUCACACCACGAGAGUUUGUAAUACCCAAAGCCGGUGAGCUAACCUUUUAGGAGGCAGCCGUCUAAGGUAGGAUAGAUGAUUGGGGUGAAGUC